rnacentral:lncRNA from 1 species
AGCAGAUCUCCAAGGUGACCGACUGUCCAUGCACCUAGGCUGAGGAACGUCAUGGCAACAUUGAGGAACAUCUGCGGCAGCUGGAAGGGCAGCUGGAGGAGAAGAACCAGGAGCUGGCAAGGGUGCGCCAGCGGGAGAAGAUGAACGAGGACCACAACAAGCGGCUGUCAGACACUGUGGACCGGUUGCUUAGUGAGUCCAACGAGCGCCUGCAGCUCCACCUCAAGGAGCGAAUGGCUGCCCUGGAGGAGAAGGGCCGUCUGUCUGAGGAGAUUGAGAAGCUUCGCCAAGAGGUGGACCAGCUGAAGGGUCGAGGGGGGCCGUUUGUGGAUGGCAUCCACUCCAGGUCACACGUGGGCAGUACAGCAGAUGUGCGGUUCUCACUGA